rnacentral:rRNA from 1 species
AAACCAACAGGGAUUGCCUCAGUAACGGCGAGUGAAGCGGCAAAAGCUCAAAUUUGGAAUCGCGCGAGCGAGUUGUAAUUUGAAGAGCUUGGCCCGGGGGCAGCUUGUGCCGAAGUUCCUUGGAACAGGACGUCGCAGAGGGUGAGAAUCCCGUGCGGUGUGGGCGCGUCUCCGUGUGGGCCUUGUUCGACGAGUCGAGUUGUUUGGGAAUGCAGCUCUAAGUGGGUGGUAAAUUCCAUCUAAAGCUAAAUAUUGGCGAGAGACCGAUAGCGAACAAGUACAGUGAUGGAAAGAUGAAAAGCACUUUGAAAAGAGAGUGAAACAGUACGUGAAAUUGUUGAAAGGGAAGGGCUUGACCUCAGACUCGGGUGCCUCUCGGGGCGCUCGGGCCAGCAUCGGUUUCUGUGGCGGGAGAAUGGCGUA